GAGAAAGAGAAAGAGAAACAGAGAUAACAGGAAAGAGAGAUGAGCCUGAGGCUGUGGGUAACACAACCUGCUCAGGAUAUCACAGGGCCUCUGUGUGCCCCAGUGAGGGGGUUUGGAGACACUCAGAGGUCGGAUUACCAUUAGGGGCUAAGAAUCAGAAUAAAUAAAUGAAUGAUUUGAGGACCUGUUAAAUGGAAGCAAAUGACUGGAAUCACGGACUGUAAUAGCCGAUGUCAGCUCAGUGUCCCUGAAGGCCUGGGUGAUAUUGUGAUAUAGAAUAUAUAUUUGGUUUUCACUCCCAGUUCCUGGCCCAGAGCUCCUAAAAUCCUGGUAAUUUCCUGAAUGAUAGGGGUAAUAUAAACAUCUUUUGUUAUAUUUUGUCUUAGUCCCAGGUCCCCAACACAGAGCCUCUAAGACCCUUGCAAUCCCGACAGUGAUGAAUAUCUUUUGCAUGGUAAUGACAUGAGUUGUGGCUGGGGUCCCUAGAAAGCUGGGGGCGGCUCACCAUAAAGACGAGGGCAUAAGGAGAGAGCUGGAACUUUCAUCCCCAUUCCCUGAUUUUUGAAGAGGGGAGAGGGGCUGGAGAUUAAGUCAAUCACCAAUGGUCAAUGAUUUAAUCAACCAUGCCUACAUAAUGACUUUUUUAUUUUUAUUUUUUUUGAGACGGAGUUUCGCUCUUUUCACCCAGGCUGGAGUGCAAUGGCACGAUCUCGGCUCACCACAACCUCCGCCUCCUGGGUUCAGGCAAUUCUCCUGCCUCAGCCUCCUGAGUAGCUGGGAUUAUAGGCAUGCGCCACCAUGCCAAGCUAAUUUUUUUGUAUUUUUAGCAGAGACGGGGUUUCACCAUGUUGACCAGAAUGGUCUUGAUCUCUUGACCUUGUGAUCCACCCGCCUUGGCCUCCCAAAGUGCUGGGAUUACAGGCUUGAGCCACCGCGCCCGGCCAACAUAAUGAUAUUUUAAUAAAAACCCUAAAUGACAGCGUUUGGAGAGCUUUUAAGUUGAUGAACACAGUAAUGUGCUUGGAGGGUGGUACGCCCAGAGAGAACAUGGAAAUUCCACACUCCUUCCCACAUACCUUGCCCAGUGCAGUUCUUCCAUGUGGCUGUUCUUGAGUCGUAUCCUUUAGAAGAAGCUUGUAAAUGUAAGCAGUGUUUUCCUGAGUUCUGUGAGUUUGCUAGGAGCUGUGAAAAAAAGUUCUGAAAAAGGAAUUUGGAGGAAAGAGACUUUUUUUCCAGUAAAUAGUUUGCAAACUGGCAGAAGCAGCCUCUGGAAUAAAAGUAAGCUACUUUCCAGAGAAAAAAAGAGAGAGUUCCACUUUUACACCAAAAUUCAGGUCCAGGUUCCCGACCAGGUCUAUUUAUACAAAUGGGGAUUGAAACUCACUAAUUCUGAUUGGUUGGCACAGCUAAGUUCUGAUUGGUCAAUAUAGCUGAUAUUUGAUUGGUUGGCUUCCAAGCCCUGCACCAGAAGUCUCUGUCAGAUGAUUCUAACACCCAGUAGGGGUGUUUCAGGCCACGGUUUAUCCUGUUACCAACAACAGGAACUGGUUUGACUUAAUUGUAGAAAGGGAAGUCCUGUGGUACUUUUACAAUAUCCUUCUGAGAACACAGAGUAAGUGGCUGCCCCCUCACUCAGCCAUGCUGCCUGGUUCUGUUUUAACGUUGAGCACCUCGAAAUGUCCAUUUGUCAAAAUGGGAACCCCUGAUUUAUAGCCAGUUGGUCAGAGCAUGGGAGGUCUGAACUUGGGAUUGGCAUCAUCUGCAAUCAAGGUGAUGAAACCUAAAGCAAGAGAAGUCAAGUUACCAGGUCUUUUAGUCCACAUGGUUUACUCAUCUUUCAACUGCAAGGCAGCUUUGCAUGGAGGAUGGUAAGACUUUGGGCCAGCCCAAGUCAAGACUGAAGGAAGUAAGUAGUGGUCACAUUGCUGAAUCCUUCUCCUUUCCCUCUCUCAACUAUGCUCCACCUCCUGGUGCUCUGGUCUUACCUGCUUUGCUGUGGGCUGGGUGGGAGUUUGCCAGUCAUUGCUCUUUGGAGCACACCAGGCAGAAAGACACCUACUGCCAAAUCCAUCUCCUCCUAUUCCUCCACCUCUCUCUUCCACUCUACUCAAACUCAGGAAGAGUGGCUGCUUCCACCUAGUUACAAGGAAAAGAUUGGAUUACAUCUAGAAACACACAGAAAGGAUGGGGAGUUUGUAGAGUUACCCAAAGCACCUAGCCUGGGGAGAGUGAGUGGAAAUCCAGCUGUGCCUCACCUACCCUAUCCUGUCCUUUUUUUUUUUUCACCUAGUGGCCCCACUGCCCUCAACCAGCAUAGGAUGUGGCUGUGUCACCCCAGAGGGGGACUUUGUGUCUUUAUCUGCCUGGUGUUCUGCAGAUACCAUUUAGGCUCUGCCUAAAUCAUUACUGCAGUGACAUAGUACUUUAAAUAAAGAUUUUAUUCUUCGCUACAGGUCCAAUGCACUAUCCAUUGUGCCACAGAGCCACUUUAAAGAUUUUGUUCUAAAUGCCCUUGUAUGCAUUCUCUCAUUUAAAAAUUACGAUAGUCUAGUCACUUAAAAUGGAUCAGAGAUCAUUUAUUUCUACUGUACAGAUGAGGAAGCUGAGACUUUUAUUGAGACUCCUUUUUCUAAGGUGCUAGAUCUUGAUUUUGAACCAUGUUCUUGUGAUUUUAUGUUGUCCUUUCUACCCUUCCUUUGUUGGAAUAGAUUCACUGUGAAAUGUGAAUGACUAAUAGUAUUUUUAAAAUUAUUUAUUAUUAACUGUGCAUACGUAUAUGAAAAUAUAGACAGUAGAAUAAUAAACUCAUAUCUAUUAUCCAGAUUCAACAAUUAUUAGAUUUGGUCAAAAUCUGUAAGUAAAUCUCAGGUACCAUGGCUUUUCAUCUUCCAUAUUUUAGUUUGUAUGUCUUUAAAAAAAUAGAUAUAUUCUUGUGUAGCCACAAUGCCAUUAUCAUGCCUAACAAAAUUAAUAAUUAUUUUUUGGUAUCAUCUAAUAGCCACUUCAUAUUCAAAUUUCCUAAUUUGUCUAAAGAAAUUAUUUUAUUGUGGCUAUGUUCAAAUUGGGAUUCAAAAAUGUUUCCACUAUAUUAUCCCUUCUUAUUUUCAAUUUUUUUACUUCUGUCUAUUGUUUAGAAGCUUACUGACACAUUCACCAUCUUUGACACACAUACACAUACACACAUAGACAUAUUUGCUGUUGGGGAAUCAGGUGGCAGCUGGCAUAGCCCUUGUGUUCCAAGAAGAUGAUAAGACCACAUAUAUGGGAAACAGCAGUGAGACAGUGCUAAGAUAGAAUUGCAAGGUUAGGCAAGUCUUAUUUAUGCAGAAAUAUUCUUUUGAGAACCUGAAAUAUACCAGAUUCUGUGCUAUAUGCUAGAGAUAAAAGUGAAGAUUAAGUUUAAAGUCAGAGGUUGGGAACAGACAUUAAAAUAAAUAGCCAUAAAGGGCAUUAUUGUACGUUGUCUUCUACUUGUUUCUACAUGUCCUACCUUUCAGAUUGACUUGCUUUUGGUACUGUAUCUCUAAAAUGAAAAUUGUCUGUUCUCAUUGUUCCUUCUCGUCGUUUUCACAUAAAGCUGUGUGUUAUUUUGGAUAGUUCUAGCUUUAUUAAAUGAACAACUGAGGUCUUUGUUGUGUGUAACUGUAAUCCUUUGAUUCCUUUCACUAUUAUUUACUUUCAUCUUUUAUUAUAUUUGGUUUUUAUUUCUUAUGAAGGAUAAAAUUUGGAUUAAGGCCUGUGAUAUCGAACAUGCUGGAUGGCUGUUAGAGAGAAAGCCAGCUGCUUGCCUGAACAGUUUUACAAUAGUACUGACAAAAUAUUAAUGUUGGUUUCUGCAUUAGGUAAUGCUAGCCAUGUAGCAAAUGUCUCCCAAAAUGUACAGGUUAUUUAGAGCCGCAGUUUUCUUAUUGCAUAUAAGCUUAUGUGUGGUAAUAAUAAAAUAUUAUUACAUGUUUCUUUUAGGACUUCUGUGAAGAAAUAAUACAUAUUGACACAUUUUACAAAUUAACUUGCUAAACUAGUGUUAGUAUCAACAGCAGGCUCAGAGUUGGCAGUGGCAUCAGCAGUAGUAGCAGUAGUAGUGGUAGUGGUGGUAGUAGUAGUAGUAGCAGUAGUAGCAGUAGCAGCAGUAGCAGUAGUAGUAGUGGUGGUGGUGGUGGUGGUAGUAGUAGUAGCAGUAGCAGUAGUAGUAGUGGUGGUGGUAGUAG